AGAGUUUGAUCCUGGCUCAGGAUGAACGCUGGCGGCGUGCUUAACACAUGCAAGUCGAACGAAGCGCUAUUGACAGAAUCUUCGGAGGAUGGAUCUAGUGACUGAGUGGCGGACGGGUGAGUAACGCGCGGGUAACCUGCCUCAUACAGGGGGAUAACAGUUAGAAAUGACUGCUAAUACCGCAUAAGCGCACAGCAUUGCAUGAUGCAGUGUGAAAAACUCCGGUGGUAUGAGAUGGACCCGCGUCUGAUUAGCUAGUUGGUAAGGUAACGGCUUACCAAGGCGACGAUCAGUAGCCGGCCUGAGAGGGUGAACGGCCACAUUGGGACUGAGACACGGCCCAAACUCCUACGGGAGGCAGCAGUGGGGAAUAUUGCACAAUGGGGGAAACCCUGAUGCAGCGACGCCGCGUGAACGAAGAAGUAUUUCGGUAUGUAAAGUUCUAUCAGCAGGGAAGAAAAUGACGGUACCUGACUAAGAAGCACCGGCUAAAUACGUGCCAGCAGCCGCGGUAAUACGUAUGGUGCAAGCGUUAUCCGGAUUUACUGGGUGUAAAGGGAGCGUAGACGGCUGUGCAAGUCUGAUGUGAAAACCCGGGGCUCAACCCCGGGACUGCAUUGGAAACUGUGCAGCUAGAGUGUCGGAGAGGUAAGCGGAAUUCCUAGUGUAGCGGUGAAAUGCGUAGAUAUUAGGAGGAACACCAGUGGCGAAGGCGGCUUACUGGACGAUCACUGACGUUGAGGCUCGAAAGCGUGGGGAGCAAACAGGAUUAGAUACCCUGGUAGUCCACGCCGUAAACGAUGACUACUAGGUGUGGGAGGACUGACCCCUUCCGUGCCGCAGUUAACACAAUAAGUAUUCCACCUGGGGAGUACGACCGCAAGGUUGAAACUCAAAGGAAUUGACGGGGGCCCGCACAAGCGGUGGAUUAUGUGGUUUAAUUCGACGCAACGCGAAGAACCUUACCAGGAUUUGACAUCCUACUAACGAAGUAGAGAUACAUUAGGUGCCCUUCGGGGAAAGUAGAGACAGGUGGUGCAUGGUUGUCGUCAGCUCGUGUCGUGAGAUGUUGGGUUAAGUCCCGCAACGAGCGCAACCCCUAUUGUUAGUUGCUACGCAAGAGCACUCUAGCGAGACUGCCGUUGACAAAACGGAGGAAGGCGGGGACGACGUCAAAUCAUCAUGCCCCUUAUGUCCUGGGCUACACACGUAAUACAAUGGUGGUAAACAGAGGGAGGCAAAGCUGCGAAGUGGAGCAAAUCCCUAAAAGCCAUCUCAGUUCGGAUUGCAGGCUGCAACUCGCCUGCAUGAAGCUGGAAUCGCUAGUAAUCGCGGAUCAGCAUGCCGCGGUGAAUACGUUCCCGGGCCUUGCACUCACCGCCCGUCA
rnacentral:rRNA from 1 species